UACGUAGGGUGCGAGCGUUAAUCGGAAUUACUGGGCGUAAAGCGUGCGCAGGCGGUUUUGUAAGCCAGAUGUGAAAUCCCCGGGCUUAACCUGGGAAUGGCAUUUGGGACUGCAAGGCUUGAGUUUGGCAGAGGAGACUGGAAUUCCUGGUGUAGCAGUGAAAUGCGUAGAUAUCAGGAGGAAUACCGAUGGCGAAGGCAGGUCUCUGGGCCGAUACUGACGCUGAGGAGCGAAAGCGUGGGGAGCGAACAGG
rnacentral:rRNA from 1 species